rnacentral:rRNA from 1 species
UACGGAGGGUGCAAGCGUUAUCCGGAUUCAUUGGGUUUAAAGGGUGCGUAGGCGGGUCUUUAAGUCAGUGGUGAAAUCUCUCAGCUCAACUGAGAAACUGCCAUUGAUACUGAAGACCUUGAAUUUAGUUGGAGUUGGCGGAAUGAGGCAUGUAGCGGUGAAAUGCAUAGAUAUGUUAUAGAACACCAAUUGCGAAGGCAGAUCACUAAACCAUUACUGACGCUGAGGUACGAAAGCGUGGGGAGCGAACAGG